GAUGAACGCUGGCGGCGUGCCUAACACAUGCAAGUCGAACGGAGUCCAGCCUUCGAGACCUUCGGGUCCAAGAGGGGAAGACUGAGUGGCGGACGGGUGAGUAACACGUGGGCAACCUGGCUCAUAGAGGGGGAUAACAGAGAGAAAUUUCUGCUAAUACCGCAUAAGCACACACUGCCGCAUGGCAGAGUGUGAAAAGAGAAUCGCUAUGAGAUGGACCCGCGUCUGAUUAGCCAGUUGGCAGGGUAAGAGCCUACCAAAGCGACGAUCAGUAGCCGAUUGGAGAGGAGGAACGGCCAAAUGGGGACGGGGACACGGCCCAAACUCCUACGGAAGGCAGCAGUGGGGGAUAUUGCACAAGGGGGGAACCCUGAUGCAGCGACGCCGCGUGAGUGAAGAAGUAUUUCGGUAUGUAAAGCUCUAUCAGCAGGGAAGAUAAUGACAGUACCUGAAUAAGAAGCCCCGGCUAACUACGUG
rnacentral:rRNA from 1 species